rnacentral:rRNA from 1 species
ACCUGCGGAAGGAUCAUUGUCGUGACCCUGACCAAAACAGACCGUGAACGUGUCAUCCACACCGCCGGGUGACGGGGUUGCACUCGUCUCCCGGUAUCGGCUUCCUCCCCUCCUCCGGUGGGGAGUGGCCACAAAAGAACCCACGGCGCCGAAUGGCGUCAAGGAACACUAAGAUUGUCUCGCUUGUGGUGACGACCGGCAUGCCGGAUGUGGCCCGAGCAGCGAUGCUACACAAAUCAACAUGACUCUCGGCAACGGAUAUCUCGGCUCUCGCAUCGAUGAAGAACGUAGCAAAAUGCGAUACCUGGUGUGAAUUGCAGAAUCCCGUGAACCAUCGAGUUUUUGAACGCAAGUUGCGCCCGAGGCCUUUUGGUCAAGGGCACGUCUGCCUGGGCGUCACGCCAAAAGACACUCCCCACCCUUUUCGGUGGUGGACGUGGUGUUUGGCCCCUCGUGCCGCAGGGUGCGGUGGGCCAAAGUAUGGGCUGCCGGCGGUGCCGAUCACAGCGCAGGGUGGAUGACGUUAGUUGUUCUCGAUGCUGUGAUCGAAUCUGGUUUCGGUGAUGCCAUGUCCCUAAAGACCCAUGGAGCGAGGCGCAUGUCGCUCGUACCGCGACCCCAGGUCAGUCGGGAUUACCCGCUGAAUUUAAGCAUAUCAAUAAGCGG